UCUUCAGAGCUGCCUGGGCCUAGCGCCCAAGAAGUUUGCUCCUUGCAUCAAUGGCGAUGCUAGACAUAUUCUACUGGCUGUGGCCCAAAGGCUGGAGGUGGAACUGUAAGAGCAGAGAGGAGGAGAAGGCUCACCAUGAAGACAAAAGAAGUCCUGAGCCUUGGAUUUUCUUCCUCUAGGGCUUUGUGGACCCACAGAUUGGUAGAAGUUCUGUGAGGGCUGACUUCUCCCCAUCUGUCCCAGAUGGAUCCCUUAAGGCUCAGGACACCUCAGAGGACUGGUGCAUGGGCUGCAGCCAGCCUGACCCAGCUCUAUAAAGAAGCUCACCCUUUACAGAUGCCCCAGAGAGGCCCCCAUCCUGCCCUGCAGCCAGCUUCCUGGGCAAGUGGGAUCAGGCACUCGGGGUCUCCCUCCUCCAGGGUUUCCUGAAACAGGAUGCAUUCAGCCCUUGUAGAGUUGCUGGGGAAGUGGAAGGAAAACAGAGGUGACUCUUGAAGCCCCAGGAGCUGACCUUAGAUCUUGACACUCCUGGUGUGUGCAAAGGUCUGAGGAGACGGCCAGAUUGAGGUAAAGCAGUAAAAAUCCGUGCUUGUCAGGAAAGUAGCAAGAGCCGAGUUCUACACUAACCAUUGGCUGGCCUGGGGCAGCCUGCAGCUGCACAACUGCCUCGUACAAUGGCAUGGACAAGCAGUGUCGGUGACGUAGCAGGCCGCUGGGGACCUGGGAGACAUCCUGCUGCUGCAGGAGUCCUGUGCAGAGCAGAGGAGAGAGCAGUUUGGCAAGUGCAGGGGUCCCACUCUUCUUUUGGUUGGUGGCAGGGAGCAGGUGGGGCCUAACCUGGGUGGACAGUGUCUACCUCCCUUCUGUGCAUUUUGCAUUGGCCUUAAUUGGUUCUCCCGGGAUAGUCACGAAAGCCCGACCUUUGUUCCAGGUAAAGUGCUGCAUGUUUCAUGUGUACAGCUCAUUUAAUCUUCACAGGACCUUAUGAAGUAGUUAUUAUAUCUAUUAUCAUCACAGAAAAGAACACUGAGCCUCAGAGAGGUCAAGCAAUUGGCCCAAGAUCACACAGCCUGCAAGAAACAGAGAUGGGACUCAGACCCUGGUCUAUUUGGCUCCCAUGUGCCUUACUACUAUGUUAUACCCACCCCUCCAGUCUCCUUCUAGGUCACCAGCUGGGAUGGGAGGCCAACUCUCCAAAUCAGAAGAGGUAAGCAGUUGUUACUGAGGAGUUGACUUCCUUCCCAUUUUGUUCCCUUCAGAUUUGGGAUUUAUGUUAAGACCUUGUUAUGAUUAUCUAGUGCUACAUAACAAAUCGUUCCAAAAUUUAGUGGCUGAAAACAAUGGCAAUCAUUUUACUAUCUGUUACAGUUUUUCUGGGUCAGGAAUUUGAGCAGGACUUGCCUACGUGAUUUUGGCUUGAGGACUCUCACAUGGUGGUAAUAGAUGGAAGUUGAAACUGGAGCAGAGGAGCAGAAGUGGCUGGAGUGGCAGGAACUGGCCAGGCAUCUCUUCCUCUCUGGAUAUAUAGACACUGGGCCUCUUCAUCGGGUCUUUCUGCAGGGCUGGUUGUGCUUCCUCACUGCAUGGUGGCUCAGGGCAGUCAGACCACCUGCGUGGUGGCUCAGCACUCCAGCACAGUGUCCCAUCACUCAAGGUAGAAGCUGCAUUGUCCUCUAGGGCUUAGCCUCUGAAGCCAUGCAGCGUCACUUCCUGAGCUUCCUUGUAACCACUUCCUGUUGGUUAUAAGUGAGGCACAAGCCCAUCCAAAUUCAAAGGAAGAAGAGUUAGACUCCAUCACUUAAUAGGAACGUGGCAAGAUUCUAGAAGAGCAAAUGGGAUAAGAAUUAUUGUUGCAUUCAUCUUAG
rnacentral:lncRNA from 1 species